rnacentral:rRNA from 1 species
GAUGAACGCUGGCGGCGUGCCUAAUACAUGCAAGUAGAACGCUGAAGGAAGGAGCUUGCUCUUUCCGGAUGAGUUGCGAACGGGUGAGUAACGCGUAGGUAACCUGCCUGGUAGCGGGGGAUAACUAUUGGAAACGAUAGCUAAUACCGCAUAACAGUAGAUGUUGCAUGAUAUCUACUUAAAAGGUGCAAUUGCACCACUACCAGAUGGACCUGCGUUGUAUUAGCUAGUUGGUGAGGUAACGGCUCACCAAGGCGACGAUACAUAGCCGACCUGAGAGGGUGAUCGGCCACACUGGGACUGAGACACGGCCCAGACUCCUACGGGAGGCAGCAGUAGGGAAUCUUCGGCAAUGGACGGAAGUCUGACCGAGCAACGCCGCGUGAGUGAAGAAGGUUUUCGGAUCGUAAAGCUCUGUUGUAAGAGAAGAACGAGUGUGAGAGUAGAAAGUUCACACUGUGACGGUAUCUUACCAGAAAGGGACGGCUAACUACGUG